rnacentral:misc_RNA from 1 species
GCCUCUUCAUAAUUGAACUCCUGGAUUCGCCUAAGCACCUCGUUAUACACCUCUAGCUUUUGCAUAUGGUGUCGAGGAUUCGCCUGCGAGUACGACUCCCCUGCUCUACUUCCACAGCUCUCUACGUCCUCUUCAAUCGCCAUUAUUUGGAUAAAGAAACGACAACUCGCUCAAACCAGUAAAGCAAAAUAAAAUAAUAAUUAAAAUUGUAGUAAAAAUGAAUUAAGAGAGCUCAAUCAAAAAAAGGUGGAUCGCACAUGGCGGUGGCAGUUGCGGUGGUUGUUGUGGCGGUGGUGGAUGAAUUCGACAAAUAGAAGAGGGAAAGGGAGAGCUCAACAACAAAAGGCCGAAUGGUGAUGCUUUUUUUUUUUUUUUU